UCUGGAAUAGCUCGGUUGGUAGAGCAUGAGAUUCUUAACCUAAGGGUCAUGGGUUCAAGCCCCACACUGGGCAAAA